rnacentral:rRNA from 1 species
AGCAGCCCAGAGUCUGAAUCAGCUUGUGUGUUAGUGGAACGGUCUGGAAAGUCCGACGGUACAGGGUGAUAGUCCCGUACACCAAAAUGCACAGGCUGUGAACUCGAAGAGUAGGGCGGGACACGUGGUAUCCUGUCUGAAUAUGGGGGGACCAUCCUCCAAGGCUAAAUACUCCUGACUGACCGAUAGUGAACCAGUACCGUGAGGGAAAGGCGAAAAGAACCCCGGCGAGGGGAGUGAAAAAGAACCUGAAACCGUGUACGUACAAGCAGUGGGAGCACCUUCGGGUGUGACUGCGUACCUUUUGUAUAAUGGGUCAGCGACUUAUAUUCUGUAGCAAGGUUAACCGUAUAGGGGAGCCGCAGGGAAACCGAGUCUUAACUGGGCGUUAAGUUGCAGGGUAUAGACCCGAAACCCGGUGAUCUAGCCAUGGGCAGGUUGAAGGUUGGGUAACACUAACUGGAGGACCGAACCGACUAAUGUUGAAAAAUUAGCGGAUGACUUGUGGCUGGGGGUGAAAGGCCAAUCAAACCGGGAGAUAGCUGGUUCUCCCCGAAAGCUAUUUAGGUAGCGCCUCGUGAAUUCAUCUUCGGGGGUAGAGCACUGUUUCGGCUAGGGGGUCAUCCCGACUUACCAACCCGAUGCAAACUACGAAUACCGAAGAAUGUUAUCACGGGAGACACACGGCGGGUGCUAACGUCCGUCGUGAAGAGGGAAACAACCCAGACCGCCAGCUAAGGUCCCAAAGUCAUGGUUAAGUGGGAAACGAUGUGGGAAGGCACAGACAGCCAGGAUGUUGGCUUAGAAGCAGCCAUCAUUUAAAGAAAGCGUAAUAGCUCACUGGUCGAGUCGGCCUGCGCGGAAGAUGUAACGGGGCUAAACCAUGCACCGAAGCUGCGGCAGCGACACUAUGUGUUGUUGGGUAGGGGAGCGUUCUGUAAGCCUGCGAAGGUGUGCUGUGAGGCAUGCUGGAGGUAUCAGAAGUGCGAAUGCUGACAUAAGUAACGAUAAAGCGGGUGAAAAGCCCGCUCGCCGGAAGACCAAGGGUUCCUGUCCAACGUUAAUCGGGGCAGGGUGAGUCGACCCCUAAGGCGAGGCCGAAAGGCGUAGUCGAUGGGAAACAGGUUAAUAUUCCUGUACUUGGUGUUACUGCGAAGGGGGGACGGAGAAGGCUAUGUUAGCCGGGCGACGGUUGUCCCGGUUUAAGCAUGUAGGCUGAUUAUCCAGGCAAAUCCGGAUAAUCAAGGCUGAGGUGUGAUGACGAGGCACUACGGUGCUGAAGUAACAAAUGCCCUGCUUCCAGGAAAAGCCUCUAAGCAUCAGGUAACAUCAAAUCGUACCCCAAACCGACACAGGUGGUCAGGUAGAGAAUACCAAGGCGCUUGAGAGAACUCGGGUGAAGGAACUAGGCAAAAUGGUGCCGUAACUUCGGGAGAAGGCACGCUGGUGUGUAGGUGAAGCCCCUGCGGGUGGAGCUGAGACCAGUCGAAGAUACCAGCUGGCUGCAACUGUUUAUUAAAAACACAGCACUGUGCAAACACGAAAGUGGACGUAUACGGUGUGACGCCUGCCCGGUGCCGGAAGGUUAAUUGAUGGGGUUAUCCGUAAGGAGAAGCUCUUGAUCGAAGCCCCGGUAAACGGCGGCCGUAACUAUAACGGUCCUAAGGUAGCGAAAUUCCUUGUCGGGUAAGUUCCGACCUGCACGAAUGGCGUAAUGAUGGCCAGGCUGUCUCCACCCGAGACUCAGUGAAAUUGAACUCGCUGUGAAGAUGCAGUGUACCCGCGGCAAGACGGAAAGACCCCGUGAACCUUUACUAUAGCUUGACACUGAACAUUGAGCCUUGAUGUGUAGGAUAGGUGGGAGGCUUUGAAGCGUGGACGCCAGUCUGCGUGGAGCCAACCUUGAAAUACCACCCUUUAAUGUUUGAUGUUCUAACGUUGGCCCCUGACCGGGGUUGCGGACAGUGUCUGGUGGGUAGUUUGACUGGGGCGGUCUCCUCCCAAAGCGUAACGGAGGAGCACGAAGGUUAGCUAAUCCUGGUCGGACAUCAGGAGGUUAGUGCAAUGGCAUAAGCUAGCUUGACUGCGAGCGUGACGGCGCGAGCAGGUGCGAAAGCAGGUCAUAGUGAUCCGGUGGUUCUGAAUGGAAGGGCCAUCGCUCAACGGAUAAAAGGUACUCCGGGGAUAACAGGCUGAUACCGCCCAAGAGUUCAUAUCGACGGCGGUGUUUGGCACCUCGAUGUCGGCUCAUCACAUCCUGGGGCUGAAGUAGGUCCCAAGGGUAUGGCUGUUCGCCAUUUAAAGUGGUACGCGAGCUGGGUUUAGAACGUCGUGAGACAGUUCGGUCCCUAUCUGCCGUGGGCGCUGGAGAAUUGAGGGGGGCUGCUCCUAGUACGAGAGGACCGGAGUGGACGCAUCACUGGUGUUCGGGUUGUCAUGCCAAUGGCACUGCCCGGUAGCUAAAUGCGGAAGAGAUAAGUGCUGAAAGCAUCUAAGCACGAAACUUGCCCCGAGAUGAGUUCUCCCUGAGACUUUAAGUCUCCUGAAGGAACGUUGAAGACGACGACGUUGAUAGGCCGGGUGUGUAAGCGCAGCGAUGCGUUGAGCUAACCGGUACUAAUGAACCGUGAGGCUUAACCUU